UAAAAGCCAUGCACUGAAGGACUCUGCGCUAUCACUUCUGUGUAGGGUUCUUGGUCUUUCCUGAAUAUUGAAUGGCCUCAGGGAAGGCAGAUAGAAUGAAAGGAAGACAAACAUCCACAAGCCUUAUGGAGCCAGGAACUUUUACAGUACACAAGAAUCCAAGUUUCCAUUAAAAUAAGAGCAAUGCUGCAAGUCUCCAGCAUUGCAGAAUUAGGAAAUGUGAAAAAUGGACAUUUAAAAAAAAAUCUGAAAAGACAUGUAAAUUAAAAGAACAGCAGAUAUAGUUAUGUAUUUAAUUCUCAUU